AAUCUGCGAUAAGCGUCGGUAAGGUGAUAUGAACCGUUAUAACCGGCGAUUUCCGAAUGGGGAAACCCAGUGUGAUUCGUCACACUAUCAUUAACUGAAUCCAUAGGUUAAUGAGGCGAACCGGGGGAACUGAAACAUCUAAGUACCCCGAGGAAAAGAAAUCAACCGAGAUUCCCCCAGUAGCGGCGAGCGAACGGGGAGCAGCCCAGAGCCUGAAUCAGUGUGUGUGUUAGUGGAAGCGUCUGGAAA
rnacentral:rRNA from 1 species